GACGUAGGGGGCGAGCGUUGUCCGGAAUUACUGGGCGUAAAGAGCACGUAGGCGGGUAAUUAAGUCAGAUGUGAAAGACCAGGGCCCAACCCUGGGGUUGCAUCUGAAACUGGUUAUCUUGAGGGCAGGAGAGGGCAGUGGAAUUCCUGGUGUAGCGGUGAAAUGCGUAGAAAUCAGGAGGAACACCAGUGGCGAAGGCGGCUGCCUGGACUGACCCUGACGCUGAGGUGCGAAAGCGUGGGUAGCAAACAGGAUUAGAUACCCUGGUAGUCCACGCUGUAAACGAUGGAUACUAGGUGUGGGAGGUAUCGACCCCUUCCGUGCCGCAGCUAACGCAAUAAGUAUCCCGCCUGGGGAGUACGGUCGCAAGGCUGAA
rnacentral:rRNA from 1 species